rnacentral:rRNA from 1 species
AGUGAACGCUGGCGGUAGGCCUAACACAUGCAAGUCGAACGGCAGCACAGUAAGAGCUUGCUCUUACGGGUGGCGAGUGGCGGACGGGUGAGGAAUACAUCGGAAUCUACUUUUUCGUGGGGGAUAACGUAGGGAAACUUACGCUAAUACCGCAUACGACCUACGGGUGAAAGCAGGGGAUCUUCGGACCUUGCGCGAUUGAAUGAGCCGAUGUCGGAUUAGCUAGUUGGUGGGGUAAAGGCCCACCAAGGCGACGAUCCGUAGCUGGUCUGAGAGGAUGAUCAGCCACACUGGAACUGAGACACGGUCCAGACUCCUACGGGAGGCAGCAGUGGGGAAUAUUGGACAAUGGGCGCAAGCCUGAUCCAGCCAUACCGCGUGGGUGAAGAAGGCCUUCGGGCUGUAAAGCCCUUUUGUUGGGAAAGAAAAGCAGCAGGUUAAUACCCCGCUGUUCUGACGGUACCCAAAGAAUAAGCACCGGCUAACUUCGUG